CGGACGGGUGAGUAAUGUCUGGGAAACUGCCUGAUGGAGGGGGGUAACUACUGGAAACGGUAGCUAAUACCGCAUAACGUCGCAAGACCAAAGAGGGGGACCUUCGGGCCUCUUGCCAUCGGAUGUGCCCAGAUGGGAUAGCUAGUAGGUGGGGUAAAGGCUCACCUAGGCGACGAUCCCUAGCUGGUCUGAGAGGAUGACCAGCCACACUGGAACUGAGACACGGUCCAG
rnacentral:rRNA from 1 species